ACUCACUUAGUUCAGUGGUUAGAGCACCAAGCUUAUACCUUGGGAGUCGGAGGUUCAAAUCCUUCAGUGAGUA
rnacentral:tRNA from 1 species